UACGAAGGGGGCUAGCGUUGCUCGGAAUCACUGGGCGUAAAGCGCACAUAGGCGGAUCGUUAAGUCAGGGGUGAAAUCCUGGAGCUCAACUCCAGAACUGCCUUUGAUACUGGCGACCUUGAGUUCGGGAGAGGUGAGUGGAACUGCGAGUGUAGAGGUGAAAUUCGUAGAUAUUCGCAAGAACACCAGUGGCGAAGGCGGCUCACUGGCCCGAUACUGACGCUGAGGUGCGAAAGCGUGGGGAGCAAACAGG
rnacentral:rRNA from 1 species